rnacentral:rRNA from 1 species
UACGUAGGUGGCAAGCGUUGUCCGGAUUUACUGGGUGUAAAGGGCGUGUAGCCGGGAGGGCAAGUCAGAUGUGAAAUCCACGGGCUCAACUCGUGAACUGCAUUUGAAACUACUCUUCUUGAGUAUCGGAGAGGCAAUCGGAAUUCCUAGUGUAGCGGUGAAAUGCGUAGAUAUUAGGAGGAACACCAGUGGCGAAGGCGGAUUGCUGGACGACAACUGACGGUGAGGCGCGAAAGCGUGGGGAGCAAACAGG